GUCUACGGCUAUGCCACCCUGAACGAGCCCGAUCCCAUCUGAUCUCGGAAGCUAAGCAGGGUAGGGUCUACUUAGUACUUGGAUGGGAGACCACCCAGGAAGACCAGGUGCUGUAGGCG
rnacentral:rRNA from 1 species